UACAGAGGUCUCAAGCGUUGUUCGGAUUCAUUGGGCGUAAAGGGUGCGUAGGUGGUGGGGUAAGUCGGAUGUGAAAUUCCUGGGCUUAACCUGGGGGCUGCAUUUGAUACGUGUGGGCUUGAGUGGGGAAGAGGGUCGUGGAAUUCCCAGUGUAGAGGUGAAAUUCGUAGAUAUUAGGAAGAACACCGGUGGCGAAGGCGGCUCUCUGGAACGGUACUGACGCUGAGACGCGAAAGCGUGGGGAGCGAACAGG
rnacentral:rRNA from 1 species